GAUGAAGAACGCAGCGAAAUGCGAUAAGUAAUGUGAAUUGCAGAAUUCAGUGAAUCAUCGAAUCUUUGAACGCACAUUGCGCCCGCCAGCAUUCUGGCGGGCAUGCCUGUUCGAGCGUCAUUUCAACCCUCGAGCCCCCCCGGGGGCCUCGGUGUUGGGGGACGGCACACCAGCCGCCCCCGAAAUGCAGUGGCGACCCCGCCGCAGCCUCCCCUGCGUAGUAGCACACACCUCGCACCGGAGCGCGGAGGCGGUCACGCCGUAAAACGCCCAACUUUCUUAGAGUUGACCUCGGAUCAGGUAGGAAUACCCGCUGAACUUAAGCAUAUCAAUAAGCGGGGA
rnacentral:misc_RNA from 1 species